rnacentral:rRNA from 1 species
GUCCUAGCCGUAAACGGUGCACGUUUGCUGUGAGUGGAAUCGACCCCACUCGUGGCGUAGCUAACGCGUUAAACGUGCCGCCUGGGAAGUACGGUCGCAAGAUUAAAACUCAAAGAAAUUGACGGGGGCCUGCACAAGCGGUGGAGUAUGUGGCUCAAUUCGAUGCAACGCGAAGAACCUUACCUGGCCUUGACAUGUACGUAGUAGAAGGGUGAAAGCCUAACGAGGUAGCAAUACCAGCGUACACAGGUGCUGCAUGGCUGUCGU